UACGGAGGGUGCAAACGUUGCUCGGAAUCAUUGGGCGUAAAGCGCACGUAGGCGGCCUGUUAAGUCGGAUGUGAAAGCCCCGGGCUCAACCCGGGAAGUGCAUACGAAACUGGCAGGCUUGAAUAUGGAAGAGGGUCGCGGAAUUCCCGGUGUAGAGGUGAAAUUCGUAGAUAUCGGGAGGAACACCAGUGGCGAAGGCGGCGACCUGGGCCAAUAUUGACGCUGAGGUACGAAAGCGUGGGGAGCAAACGGG
rnacentral:rRNA from 1 species